rfam:Gossypium raimondii Chr09_contig_214, whole genome shotgun sequence.
GGAAGAAACAUCAUUGAGUGCAGCGUUGAUGAAAUUUCUCAAUUUCUGAGAUGAAUUCGUCAGCGCUGCUCUCAAUCAUGUUUUUU